rnacentral:rRNA from 1 species
UAUGUGAUCGUCUCUCGCAUAUCAAUAAGCGGAGGAAAAGAAACUAACAAGGAUUCCCCUAGUAACGGCGAGUGAAGCGGGAAGAGCUCAAAUUUGAAAUCUUAAAGGGUUUCCCUUUACGAAUUGUAGUUUAAAGAAGUGUUUUCUGUUGAGGUUUUGGUAAAAGUUCUUUGGAAUAGGACAUCAUAGAGGGUGAGAAUCCCGUAUUCGACCUUUACUUUCAACUUUGUGAUACACUUUCAAAGAGUCGGAUUGUUUGGGAAUGCAGUCCAAAAUGGGUGGUAAAUUUCAUCUAAAGCUAAAUAUUGGCGAGAGACCGAUAGCGAACAAGUACCGUGAGGGAAAGAUGAAAAGAACUUUGAAAAGAGAGUUAAACAGUACGUGAAAUUGUCAAAAGGGAAGCGUUUGACACCAGUGUUGUUUUUCUGAAAAUCAAUUAAAGAACUGUUUAUGCUAAGUUGUUUAGACUUUAUCAGCUAACUGUUUAGUUUUGAGCUUUUCUUUAAUGCACUUUUCAGUUAACAAGUCAACAUCAAUUUCUUUUGCUGUAAAAAAGCUUGAGGAAGGUGGCUUGAGAUUCGUCUUAAGUGUUUAUAGCCUCUUGCCUAUGCAGUCGGAGAGAUUGAGGUCUGCAGCGUAGAUCCUUCGGGGCUAAAUGCAUUUGUGCUAAGUUAUAGCAUUUUAUAGACAACUUGUUGACUAUGAUUUGUCUUGUAGCUUACUCGCUUAUGUUAUUUUACCUACGCUUAGGAUGUUGACACACGCGCGUGCUCG